ACGUAUACACCGAGUCGAGCGUUCCUCGUCAAGAUAGUUCAUCAAUAUUGGUGUACAGCAUAUAAAGAUGAACGAGCUUACCAGAGCCUGACCAUGGACGUCAGAUUAAGCUGUAGUAGCCAGACUUCAAUGGAGGACAUAGUCCUUGGAACAGCGGCAGAAGCUAGCCCUGGACAUGAAAAGACAGCUGAAUUAUCAGAUUUUGUCCCAUCAGCAGACAGACUACCACCUCACUCUAUGGGUGCUGACUAUCGAAGUGUUGAAACACCACUCUCAAUUCCAUCCGCAAGUGAGAGCAACAACUUUGCCUCU